GCCGUGAGGACGACCAGAGGUCACUAUCAUCUCCAUCUUGGUUUGGUGGGAUUUAGCCGGCUUCUUUACUGCAACCUGUUUUAUCAGCAAGGUCUUUAUGACCUGUGUCUUGUGCUGACCUCCUAUGUCGUCCUGUGACUUAGAAUGCCUAACCUCCUGGGAAUGCAGCCCGGUAGGUCUCAGCCUUGUUUUACCCAGCGUCUGUUCAAGAUGGAGUUGCUCUGGUUCAAAUGCCUCUGACAAACAGGCAGGGCUGUGUUCCAGUGACUUUGUUUACAAGAACAGAUGUAGACUGUGGUUUACAACCUGUUUUGCACCAGCCAGGACAUCUUGGUCUUCCCACAGUCUUUCCAGCCAUCCUCCCCAGGCCUCCUCUCCCCUGCCUGCCCCACUUCCUGAUUGGUCUCUCCGGGUUUUCUCUAUGGUCUCCUGGGUGCUUGUGUAAUUAGCUGGAGUAACCACGUUGGUCAUCAAACCUCCUGCAAGAGGGUGUGAGUUCCUCCCACCACAGUGACGUGAAUGGCACUGAUAACCCCAGGGUUUGUGGGAGCCAGUGCCAGCUUCACUCGGGCUGGUUCUCUCUGCACAGGGUGGUCCAGCGUCUCCUCGUUGUCAUUCCAGGUCUCUGUGGACAUUGACAAUGGCAGCUCCGGCUUCGAGCAUUCUGGACGCAUCAUGAUGGGGCCCACAUUCCUCAACUACUCUGUGAGCUGCUGUUACCGUGAUGGGCACCUGGAGCUCUCCGGCCGGAGCUGGCACAAGAGUGAGGCCUUGUUGUGGGCAGGGUUCCCAGGCGAGGCCUGCCUGAGCGCUGAGCUGCAGAUAAAUGAGACCCAGACCCAGGCCAGGGCAGCCCUCCGUGGCAGGGACGGUGGAGUCAGCGUGGACCUGGCAGCCCUGGUGGCUUGGCCACUGUAUGGCCCAUUGCAGUUGGUGGCCAAUGCCAGCCAUGCAGUGCCUGCUCUCCAGAGGCUGGGCCUGCCCUUCACCAACCAGCUUGUGUUCCAAGGACUCUGGGAGGCAGAAGAGAUGAGCUCCUCGCUGCAGCUGACCUGUGAUUCUCAGGCCACCUUGGUCCUCGACGUCCGUGGCCAGAACCAGGCAGUCAGCUACGCUACUCCAAGGGUGAGGUUCAGAGCAUGUUCGCCUUGGGCGUGGAGGAGCAUCAUUUUCACAUCAGCACCCAGCAGGUAGCUGCUAAGGCCAGUCUCAGCAACUUCAUCAAACUGGAACAGACCUUCCUGCAGCUCAGCGCUCUUCCCGGGGAGCUGGUCCUGCAGACCACAUAUGAGCGAGCUCAUGGGACCCGUGUCCUGCGCCAGGUGGUGCUGUGGGAUGGCCAGGAGGUGGCCCUCACCGGGAGCCUCUCUGGCCUUUUCCCCAAGCCCACCAGGAACUUCAGCCUGCAGGGUGAGUGUGUGAGGGGCUGCAGGCAGGGGUGGCCUAGUCACUCAAAUCAUCCCUGGCCAGGCGUGGUGGCUCAUGCCUGUAAUCCUGGCACUUUGGGAGGCCGAGGUGGGUGGAUCAGUGGAGGUCAGGAGUUUGAGACCAGCCUGGCCAACAUGGUGAAACCCUGUCUCUACUAAAAAUACAAAAAUCAGCUGGGCAUGGUGCUGGGCGCCUGUAAUCCCCGCGACUUUGGAGGCUGAGGCAGGAGAAUUGCUUGAACCCGGGAGGCAGAGGUUGCAGAGAGCCAAGACUGAGCCCCUGCGCUCCAGCCUGGGCAACAGAGUGACACUCAGUCUCAAAAAAGUCAUGAGUGAGCACCUGCAUAUCCCAGGUGUGAUUCUAGGCACCAGGGGUCCAUCAGGAAGCAAGAUGGGCCAGGUGCCACCCCUCUGGGAGACAGGCAUUGAGCAUCAAGAUGCACAUAAAGAAAAUAACAUCAAACUGACCAUUUCCACGAGUGGAAAAGGCUGUGAGAGCAAGCAGGGUCUUUGUGGGGUGUGGGCCUCCUUUAGGUGGGGUGGUCUGGGAAGGCCUCUUGGAGGAGGUGACUUCUGAACUGAGGUCUGAAGGAUGAGAAGGAGCUGACUGAGGAGCAGAUCUGAGCAGAGGCACUUUAGGCAGAAGGUCCCGCGUGGAAAUGAGCUUUGCGUAUGCAGCAGCAGCAGCGAGGCUAGCAUGGCUGGAAUGGGAGAAAGGAUGAGGUGAGGCAGGAGGGCUGGGGGACCCAGGUCAUGCAGGGUCUCAGCUCACAGAGAGGAGCUGGGGCUCAUCCUGAGUGCGUCCGGGCAGGG
rnacentral:lncRNA from 1 species